UGGGGAAUAUUCCGCAAUGGACGAAAGUCUGACGGAGCAACGCCGCGUGAGUGAUGAAGGUUUUCGGACUGUAAAGCUCUGUUGUUUAGGACGAAAGUGCCUGUUGCGAACAGUUACAGGUAUUGACGGUACUAAACGAGGAAGCCACGGCUAACUACGCGCCAGCAGCCGCGGUAAUACGUAGGUGGCAAGCGUUGUCCGGAAUUAUUGGGCGUAAAGAGCAUGUAGGCGGAGAUUUAAGUCUGUUGUGAAAAUGCGGGGCUCAACCCCGUAUUGCGAUGGAAACUGAAUUUCUUGAGUGCAGGAGAGGAAAGGGGAAUUCCCAGUGUAGCGGUGAAAUGCGUAGAUAUUGGGAGGAACACCAGUGGCGAAGGCGCCUUUCUGGACUGUGUCUGACGCUGAGAUGCGAAAGCCAGGGUAGCGAACG
rnacentral:rRNA from 1 species